AUAAGGUCUGAUUUUAUGUGCAAACCCAGUGCUCUUUAGACAUCAAUUCUCUGUCUCUCCCAGGAACUCUUCAUCUCACUGCACUGAUAAGAGAAUAAGCUGGUCUAAAUCAGUUGGGAGACUUGAGACGAGGUGAACUUAUCUCCUAACCUCCUUCACCACAAAGCAUUUGAUUAAUUGGAGCAGCAUCUUUCCAGUGUCCUUCUUUCCACUAAGGAGUGACUAGCCAAACCCGCAUUGCUCUUUCAGAAGAUCAAAGGGACUGCUGCCCACCUAAUGGCAGGCCAGACAGGAUUGUUCCAUUAUGCCUGGACAGAUAUUCCCCAGGAAGCCUUCUACUCACAAGCCAGAUUGUACUCCAGACUGAGGUAUACAUCUGUGCUUGAAGUUAUUUGUGCAUAGUUUCCUACUUACAUUUAUGCCCAUUAAAGCCAAUGAGAGGCUUCAGCAAUACUGAGUGUAAACUAUAAUCAGCAUGUAAAGUUUGUUGUGUGUCCUGGGAUCUUCGGAAAAAAGGCUCUCUAUAUGCCUCAUCAUUAUUAGUUUUUCUUGCAUCAUUUGUCAAGAUAAAUACAUGGUUGUUGUUUAGCACAAUGUACUGGAAACUUCUGACUUGCAAAUUAAUCUGAAAGAUAGAACCAUACAAAAACAUUUUAUGCAUCUAGCAUUUAUGAUGUAAUUUCUGCUCUUGAGAAAAAGUCAAAAAGGGAAGUAGCAAUACAUAAAUACAAGUUAAAAGAACACAUGUAAUGAAUUAACAUCAUUGCAUUCAGUUAGACACCAGUUGUCACUAUGGAGCAGUGAUUAUGAUGGGGAAUUAAAUUAAACAAACACAGCUAACAAAAAAGCUGCUAUUAUACUGAUAAAAAUAGAAGAAUGGGACCUUACAGAAUGCAAAGAUGGAUUCAACCAUAAAAAUAUAUUGUGGAAAUCUAAUUCUAGUAUUUUCCAUGGAGCUGAGCAUGUAAUGUCUGCUCACAUGGAAAGAUACCCCUGAGGAGGAAAACUAGGAGGAGGUGCUUUAUGUUUAUGUAUUGAGUUGUCUACGUGGGUGAAAACUGAAGAAGUUAUGAGACUGAUUAAGCUUAAGCUGUGGUUGGGAAUUAUCUGCAGAUCAGAAAGGAAGGCUGAUGAUUCAGAGUCCUCCUGCUAGCAGAUACGAUAUUUUACAUAAUUAUUAUACAUUCCAAUUUACUUGGAUGUGUCACAUUGUAAUAUGUUACAUUGUCAUGCAAUGUUAGACCAUUUUCAGGAGGUCUGCUUGAGAUAGUGUGUAAAGAAACGUAAAGAUAUGAAACAUCAUUGUAGAGGAUAGGACUUUAGGCUCUGUGAAAUAAAGCGGUUUUUGCUUCCUAUCA
rnacentral:lncRNA from 1 species